rnacentral:rRNA from 1 species
GAGCAUGUGGCUUAAUUUGACUCAACGCGGGAAAUCUUACCGGGUCCGGACACACUGAGGAUUGACAGGUAACGUUAUACACACAUAUAUUUACUCUCGGGUAUUUAUACUGCUGUGUAUAUAUAAAAUAUGCUAGUCCUUUCAUGAUUAUGUGAUAGGUGGUGCAUGGCCGUUCUUAGUUCGUGGAGUGAUCUGUCUGCUUAAUUGCGUUUCACUAAGGAUCUAUAUUCAUAUUACGCAUAGCAUUUUGACCCCUUUAUGCUUCGGUAUAAAGCUGCGCGUCAAACCUUGCUAUCUGCGUAUAUUAGAUCCUGAAAGCAACGAACGUGACCGCAACCUCUUGUUGCCUUUAACUAGGUUUUGCUUACGUAUAGCUUCGGCUUUACGCUUUGCAUCUAAAAAGGCUGAUUUUCUAAACUAGAGGGACCGCUGUUACUUUCUUAAACCAGAGGAAGGUUGCGGCAAUAACAGGU